AACGAACGCUGGCGGCAGGCUUAACACAUGCAAGUCGAACGCCCCGCAAGGGGAGUGGCAGACGGGUGAGUAACGCGUGGGAACAUACCCUUUCCUGCGGAAUAGCUCCGGGAAACUGGAAUUAAUACCGCAUACGCCCUACGGGGGAAAGAUUUAUCGGGGAAGGAUUGGCCCGCGUUGGAUUAGCUAGUUGGUGGGGUAAAGGCCUACCAAGGCGACGAUCCAUAGCUGGUCUGAGAGGAUGAUCAGCCACAUUGGGACUGAGACACGGCCCAAACUCCUACGGGAGGCAGCAGUGGGGAAUAUUGGACAAUGGGCGCAAGCCUGAUCCAGCCAUGCCGCGUGAGUGAUGAAGGCCUUAGGGUUGUAAAGCUCUUUCACCGAUGAAGAUAAUGACGGUAGUUGGAGAAGAAGCCCCGGCUAACUUCGUGCCAGCCGCCGCGGUAACAC
rnacentral:rRNA from 1 species